GACGAACGCUGGCGGCGUGCUUAACACAUGCAAGUCGAACGGAAAGGCCCUGCUUUUGUGGGGUGCUCGAGUGGCGAACGGGUGAGUAACACGUGAGUAACCUGCCCUUGACUUUGGGAUAACUUCAGGAAACUGGGGCUAAUACCGGAUAGGAGCUCCUGCUGCAUGGUGGGGGUUGGAAAGUUUCGGCGGUUGGGGAUGGACUCGCGGCUUAUCAGCUUGUUGGUGGGGUAGUGGCUUACCAAGGCUUUGACGGGUAGCCGGCCUGAGAGGGUGACCGGCCACAUUGGGACUGAGAUACGGCCCAGACUCCUACGGGAGGCAGCAGUGGGGAAUACUGCACAAUGGGCGGAAGCCUGAUGCAGCAACGCCGCGUGCGGGAUGACGGCCUUCGGGUUGUAAGCCGCUUUCGCCUGUGACGAAGCGUGAGUGACGGUAAUGGGUAAAGAAGCACCGGCUAACUACGUG
rnacentral:rRNA from 1 species